GCACCAUCGACAUACGAUUCAAUGAGACUGCAUUCGAAAACUGGCAGGAUUCCGGCGAGACCGAAUUUCCCGUGGGACGAGCACGAGAGGAUUAUCUGCGUCCACCUGACAGCCGCGACAAAAUAAUUUCAAGACUCGAACUCGCCGAAAUUAUGCCAAUUGAAAUAUCCGGUUUCUCAACACGCGGGAGAAGGUGGUCAAGGUGGGAAACGGGGGAGCAGGACGGAAUUAGAACAUUAAGCUAUAUCGCGGAGGAACAGUGACGAGAGUAGACACGUGGUGAGAGAGGGAGAGAGACAACGGAGAGUAAUGCGUAAGAGGCGUAAUAGACGUAAUAGAGGAGGACGUGCAGAGGCGGACGGGGUGGCUACGCACGACGGGGCGGUAGUUCCUUGGAUAAUUUCGCGGACGGCACGGUUCGGCCGCCUUACUUACUGCUGUACGAAUCCACUGGGCUGCCAUCGCGCCGACGAUGAUCGAUGCAAACAGAAAAA
rnacentral:lncRNA from 13 species